AGACCCGAAACCCGGUGAUCUAGCCAUGGGCAGGUUGAAGGUUGGGUAACACUAACUGGAGGACCGAACCGACUAAUGUUGAAAAAUUAGCGGAUGACCUGUGGCUGGGGGUGAAAGGCCAAUCAAACCGGGAGAUAGCUGGUUCUCCCCGAAAGCUAUUUAGGUAGCGCCUCGUGAAUUCAUCUCCGGGGGUAGAGCACUGUUUCGGCUAGGGGGCCAUCCCGGCUUACCAACCCGAUGCAAACUGCGAAUACCGGAGAAUGUUAUCACGGGAGACACACGGCGGGUGCUAACGUCCGUCGUGAAGAGGGAAACAACCCAGACCGCCAGCUAAGGUCCCAAAGUCAUGGUUAAGUGGGAAACGAUGUGGGAAGGCCCAGACAGCCAGGAUGUUGGCUUAGAAGCAGCCAUCAUUUAAAGAAAGCGUAAUAGCUCACUGGUCGAGUCGGCCUGCGCGGAAGAUGUAACGGGGCUAAACCAUGCACCGAAGCUGCGGCAGCGAACGUAUCACCCAAGACAACUUUACGGAGUUGACGAUUGACGGAGCGAAGCGACGUCAAAGCGUUCAUUAAAGUCGAGUUGGCUUAGGGAUACGUUCGUUGGGUAGGGGAGCGUUCUGUAAGCCUGUGAAGGUGUGUCGUGAGGCAUGCUGGAGGUAUCAGAAGUGCGAAUGCUGACAUAAGUAACGAUAAAGCGGGUGAAAAGCCCGCUCGCCGGAAGACCAAGGGUUCCUGUCCAACGUUAAUCGGGGCAGGGUGAGUCGACCCCUAAGGCGAGGCCGAAAGGCGUAGUCGAUGGGAAACGGGUUAAUAUUCCCGUACUUGGUGUUACUGCGAAGGGGGGACGGAGAAGGCUAUGUUGGCCGGGCGACGGUUGU
rnacentral:rRNA from 4 species